AGUCAUCCCGCAGUGUUUGUGAUUAUACCCAGAUGAAGACAGCCUGGCUGUCAAAACGUUGAGUGUGCGGCUCUCUUUUAUUUUCAAGUUUCUACUCCGGUAGCCAGCACCUCGUCUUAAUAGGUGUGCGUUUCUUUUUCUUCUAUAUCAAGAAACAUCCACCAUCCACAGGACAUCCAGCCAACUUGACACAACUGUGGGAAGCAUUGGAGUCUACAUGGGUUAGCGUUCCUGUGGAACAUUUUCGACACCUUGUGAAGUCCACGCACUGACGAAUUGAGGCUGUUCUGUCGGCAAAAGGGGGUGCAACUCAAUAUUAAGCAGGCCUGAGGCUGAGGGUGUACCUGGGUGAAAGCUCCAUCUUCAAUGGCUUCAGGAAUGUCAUGGUCAGAUUGUCAGUACCCUUGUUACUUAACCACCUAACUCGCGUCCUGUGGUCCGUUUACCCUUUCAGUGGUAGUUGUUCUAGCCUGGUCAAGCAUACUGACCUCGGUGUUGUGCUCACAGUGCAGCGGUCACUCAGUCUGGUUGACGGGCUACAGUUCAUGUUCAUGACACCUUAAUACGUCCUCAGUACCCACAAUCACAGUGGAGUUACAUAGAUUGCAUCCAUAGAGUCAAAGAGGGCAACAUACAGAUUAGCUCAGCCACAGUGACCGUCUAAUUCUGUAAAAGAUGAAGCCAACUCUCUUGCCAUCUAUCUCACUUAGAGAAAGAGGAGGACUUUCAAGGUUCACACCAUUCAGUCAAAUCCCCUUCUGAAUGUUCCAGUUGACCGCCCUGAGCCUUCUCCACUCCAAAUCGGACCAGCUCAACCUCGCCAUCAUGUGCCCUGGAUUACCCUGUCCUGGCCCGGCUGGACUGAACAAGAUUCUGAACAACUCAUCGGACAAAUGACUAGAAAUGGAAUCCCUUUGUAGCAUGAUGUUGUACACAUUUAUGGCAAAGUUCUCAAAAUAAAUAUGUGAAAUAAAUUCUAAUAGGAGAAUUUUAGCAAGUUUGAAGGUUGAUGUUCAAGUAUCAAACAUAGAAUUAGGAUGGAAGGAAGACACUGUGUGGUUGAAAUAGUCACGCACGCACACGUGUACACACACACACACACACACUCUCACCCUCUCUCUCUCCCACUCUCUCUCUCACUGUCUCUCUCUCUCUCUCUCUGCAGGGAGCUGAUGGGUACCGAUAACAUGUGGCCCUGGCUCAUGGCCCUUGGUGGCCUCCCUGCCAUCCUCCAGUUUGUGACCUUUCUCUUUUACCCUGAGGCUCCCCGCUACCUAUACAUCGACAAGGGAGACACUGAGGGCUGCAAAAAAAGCCCUGCACUGGCUGUGGCAGGAAGAUGACCUGCAGAUGGAGAUGGAUGAAAUGGGGAAGGAGAGAGCGAGUAUGCGCUCAGUCCAGGGCUAUAUCAUCAAAUCAAAUCAAAUGUAUUUAUAUAGCCCUUCG